UAAGAUUCCUUGCACCCAUUCAACAAUUCAGAUAACCUCGCGGCCAAACUUUGCUUUGCUGCAGGAGAAACACCGUGCUUUCCAACGAUCGACUCUAGAACUGCCUCGGAAAGUAGUUUGUUUUCUAUCACCGUGUUUGCAGCUUCAGGUACAGAUGCAUCUCUAGAGAAGCUAAUCUGUGGCGAAAGCAAGGGGGAAAGAUGUCAAAAUCCGAUGUAAACUACAGAAGUAACCAUCCAAAAGUAGGAUUACUAACCGUUAGUGAUCCUUUGGGAGAUUGCGUGAAAAGAAUGGAGGCGCCGGGUGGGAAGUUUUGAUCUUUGAAGACCUCAAGGAACUUUUCAAUGGCUUUGCCUUCUGCAUCAGUGUAAAUUCCGAUUGACUUCCAAAAGGCAACGCAAUUCUCCGAAACUUUGUCAGAGUAUUGCUGGCCUGUGAGUGGCAGUAUCGUUGUCACUUGAAUGAAUUUCUCAAACGGACCUACAAAAGGAUAGCGAAGAUCAUAAACCGCGCUACAAAACUAUAGUCAUAUCUUUAGUAACUGUUUCCUAUGCCUCAAGUAAUCACCAUAACCAGAAGAUAGCACUACAUUUUGAGAGAUUCAUUCAUUCUAAUUGGCUGGUCAGGACUAAAUUACCACCAUAACCAUGAGCAUACAUAAGUUUAAAAAUGAGAGUAUAACUCAAGAAAUCUACGACAUUUGUUGAAUGUACAGAUCUAUAUCGGCAACUGAGAGAAGGGCGGGCCACAGGGGAUGAAUAAUGUAACAAUAUUCAACCAGUCGUUAAAACAGCGAAGAAAUCCGUGUUACCUGUAACGAUGUCCCUGAAGAACUCAACGGACUCCGUCAACUCCUCGGCCGUCUUACCCUUCCACUUAACGGCGAGCAGAGGCACGGCGUUUUCCUCCAAGUACACUCCGAUCGCCGUGAACUUCACGAAGUUCCCCUGAAUCUCCAGCCCCCUCACCCCUGCGCACGUUAGCAACCAAAAUACCGUCAAUCGGAACCAAAAGCAAGCAAAAAACAUUCAAACAAUCAGAAUCGCAGAUAUAAGCGGCGGAGAUGCAAAGUUUACAGACCUGCGCCUCCGAGGAACAGAGUGUUGGAGGAGCCCGGAGGUUUGACGGACGGUGGAAACGCAGUCGUCUCGACCUGGAGUCCGGCGAGCGAUGGCGUUGGAGCCAUUUGACAAUUUUGUUGUUAUUGUGUAGAGAGAGAGAUGGGGUUUGCUUUCGGAAACGGUGGAUUUAAAUAGAGAUGGAAAGUGGACGGGAGAGACCCGCUUCUCUGGGAAUAGAGAUGGAAAGUGGACGGGAGAGACCCGCUUCUCUGCCCUCCCACUUUUCAUACACACUCAUCGUUUCUGUUUUAUGAUCACGGUUAAGCUAUAUUAAAAUUUUAUAUUAAUCUUUUUAUAAAAAUAAUAAUAAUAUAAAAAUUUAACCCAACUUAAUACCUUAAUUGUAAUCGUAUAAAUAAAAAAAAGAUAAGAAUGUAUAAAAAAUAAAAGGACAGAGAGAGUCCAGGUCCGGACGGUAGAGGGUUUGAUGAGUAAGAAGAGGCGGUUGCGUGGGAGCCUUAAAGACGUGCGGGCGGCUGGAGGUAAGUCUGGGAGGUGUCCACAAACUGAUAGUCUGGUACCCAGAAAUAGAGAGAGAGAGAGAGAGAGAGUAAAAGAUUGUAAAGAACUUUUCUAAGGUAAAAAGAUAGUGAUUGGUCCAUCUUGGGUGAUGUGAUCAAUUAGUUUUAAUUAAUAGCUAAAAUAUCGAUAAUAUUGAAAAUAUCAGUAAUCUAAAAAUACGGAAAUUUUAAUGGAAAUAUCGAAAUAUUAUCGAUAUCGAUAAAAAUUGAAUAAAAAUCAUGAAAAUUGUAAGAAAACAUUGUAAGUGUAGAAAAUAUGUAGUAAUUAAUUAAAGAAGUUUAAACAUAUCAUAAUCAUUUAUAUAUUGUAUAACACAUAAACCUUAGGUGAAUUUAGAGUAAAUAAAUUUUUUAUUUGUUGAAAUUCCUUGAUAUUUUUUGCUAAAUUUUAGAAACUGUGUGUUUACAAAUAUAUUGAAGCAACUUUUUUUAUUUAACAAUUAUUAUUUAUGAAAUUUGAACUUAUAUAUCUUCUUUUUUUCAAAUAAAGUGAAAUUUAAGUAUAAUUAGACCAAAAUAUUAAAACUUAUUUAAUUUUUGUUAAAAUAAAUAAUAAAUAAUAAGGCAAAUAAAUAUUAAAAACAAAAAACAUUUAAGACAAUAGUUGCCAGGAGAUACCGGCAAUCCUUUAUUACGCGCGUUCCACUUCAGUACAUACAUCGCCACACACAGAGGAAUUAGAUCCGCUUCGGACCUUAGUGUGUUGAGCUUAAGGAUCAAAUUAUCUAGACCGUUGAUUAGUGUGUAAAAGAAAUCGGAACUGUUGAUUUUGUAUGAUAUCAGGAAAAUGAGUUAAUAAGGAUCUUGAGAUUGAAUUUAUAUGGUCCAGAUGAAUUGAUAUCUAGGCUCCGAACACUAAGAUCCGAAUCGGAUCCAAUUCCACAUAGAAGCACACGCGUUUUGUCUCCUUUCCUAAAUCAGCCCUAAUUCCAAUCUAAUCCAAUCCGCACACGAACCUCAAACCUUAAUUCCCAAAAUUUGUCCUCUAAUUCUUGCCAAAGCCCUCAAUUUCUCCCUUUUCCAAUCCCACCAUCUCCUCGUCCCAAACCCCAACCCUAAUCCAGAAGCAGAAUGCUUCUUACUCCGGGUCAUUAUCCUCGCCACCUCUCAUCCCCUUCGCCCUCUGCAAAUUCCGAUGCUUCCAUCCAAAACCCUACGAAUUCCACCCAAAUCACGCCCAAGAACCCUAAAAGCCAUCCACAGGUCCUCGACAAGGACACCUAUGUUGCGCCGAUCGAGAAGAUCAUCGAAAUUGACUUCUUUCACGAUAUUUCCAAGCUUCGAGACCGCCUCGACUAGCUCGAAGCGAUUAACACCCACGACUCAGUUCAGAUCCGAGAUGCCCAGUUGAAGAUCAUCGAGCGCCGCGGAAAGAAUGUAACUCAUAAUCCUGACCCUAAUGGUAGAAUCCCUGUGUUUCCCCCUUCCCCACUCAUUCGAACUUUCUCCCUCAUUCAUCUUCUUGUUUCUUCUCCCUCUAUCUCUGUAACUCUCCUUCCCGGAGCACAAGCACAACACACCCACACCCCACCGUGACCUCCACCACAGUGGCACACACUCCGGUGAACACCAUUACCACCUAUGGACCAUUCCUCCUCCCUUUCUCAACUCCCAGCGAGCACCAUUAGGCAAGAGGAGGCCUUGUUUGUUUUGGGAUCCGGAGAAAAGGGAUUGCUCAUUUUGAUGGGUUUGAGCGUGGAUUGCAGAGAGAGGCACUGAUCUUGGCAACUACGACGAUGGAGCCUCAACUGCAAUUUUGCGACGACGGAGCCUCGGCGAUAUUAUCGAUAAUAUCGCGAUAUAUUGAUGAUAAUUAAGUGGAUAAGUGUGAAAAUAUCGCCCUUUCAAAAAAACGAUAUUAUUGGCGAUAUUUCGCCGAUAAUAUCGAUAUUUUAGACCUUGGUUUUAAUUAUGAAAACAAUGAUUUAAUUUUGCGGUCCUCAAAGGGCAAAGAAGAAGAAACCAACUUUUCUAGGAUCAAAGGGUAGACAGCUACUUCUUAAAGGGUCAUCAAAUGGUUUUAAUUAUGAAAACCACCCACUUGCAUGGGGCUUUUUAUAUUUUUAAAGUUUGGGAUGUAUAGUAUAUGCAUAUAAUUUUUUUUUUUGAUAGAAAAAGAAAAUAUUAUAGCGAAAAAUCUCUUACACAGCUAGUACUAAUACAGUCAAAUUGAAAAGUUAGGUGAGCAUCCACAGGGUGACAAGCAUCCUAAAUACAAAGAUUCGAACAAUUAAGACCAAUAGACGCCAAAGCAUCCCAAAUACAUAAAAAAUUCACAUAUGUAUGUUCUUCUAUAAGAAAUAACAUAUUAUUCAAUAAUUAUUUACACAUGAUCAAUGGUGGAUCCAGGAUUUUAACAUAGGGUGGUCCUAAUAUACAAGUUCUAGAAGAAAAAAAAUCCGACUAAUAAAAUUUGCUCAAAAUCUGCAUAGGCUCAAAACAGCCACAUUUCCGGAUCUUCAGUGCUCCAAAACAGGCCCAAAAUGGCUAGAAUUAAAGCUUGAGAUGUCCCGAAGAUAAUUGUAUAGGGCCUCGAACCCAAAAGACACCAUAUUGGCUACCAAAAAACCCAAAACGUCACUUUGACAACACUGCACGUUGCCCAUUUAUUUGAUCACCAUAAAUAAACCGCUUAGUAUAAAAUUAUGAAACUUUGAUACGAUCAAUUCAACAGACUCACAAACAUCCUCCAAUUGGAAUCACUCCAAAAUUCAUUUGUUUGAUCACUUUUUGCCUCAGAGGAAGUCGAAUGUCCUACAUUAAGAUCAAAUUAUCAAAAUUCUACCAAAAUAACCAAUAAAUUAAUACUAAGAAUAGGGUAAAAUAUAUAGUAUAUUAUAGACUCAUCAACGUGUUAGAGUAAAAAUAUGGGUUAGGGGCCUUAGGCAGUUAACUAGAGCAGUGUGUCAGCCCCUUAGCAUUCAAGUUUGAAACUCUUUCUUCUUAAAUUUGAGUAGUUUAUAUUUUUUUGUUUGACAAGAAGAAAUAUAUUCUAAAGUACUCGAUUUUAUGGGAAAAGGGAAUCGAACUUGGAUGCAAAUAGUUAGACCCUCCCAACUGGUUGACACAAAGACAGAUUUGGUCCCAAAUUUGGGGUUUGGCUGGGUUCGAAAGCAAUGUUACAGGCAUAUCAGAUUAGGUAUAUUUACCAAUCGACAUCUAUAUUUGUUGAUUUGAAUUAAACAUAUAACAAUACAACACUAAUAUUUCUCAUAAAACAUGAUCAUUUUUCUUUAAAUUAAAUACGACAUAGCACUUUCCUAUAGCUUCAUAGAUUGUAUGUAAAUAAUUCACUAAACACAGAAUAGGAAUCCCUCUCAAGUUUUAUUUCUCCUCUCUCAGUUUUCAUGCCUCCACUUUUUCAUUUCCGGCUUCAGCACCAUUAGAUUCCUUGCACCCAUUCAACAAUUCGGAUAACCUCGCGGCCAAACUUUGCUUUGCUGCAGGAGAAACACCGUGCUUUCCAACGAUCGACUCUAGAACUGCCUCGGAAAGUAGUUUGUUUUCUAUCACCGCAUUUGCAGCUUCAGCUACGGAUGCAUUUCUAGAGAAGCUAAUCUGUGGCGAAAGCGAGAGAGAAAGUUGUCAAAAAUCCGAUGUAAACUACAGAAGUAACCAUCCAAAAGUAGGAUUACUAAAGUAGGAUUACUAACCGUUAGUGAUCCUUUGGGAGAUUGUGUGAAAAGAAUGGAAGCACCGGGUGGGAAAUUUUGAUCUUUGAAGACCUCAAGGAACUUUUCAAUGGCUUUGCCUUCUGCAUCAGUGUAAAUUCCGACUGACUUCCAAAAGACAACGCAAUUCUCCGAAACUUUGUCAGAGUAUUGCUGGCCUGUCAGUGGCAAUAUCGUUGUCACUUGAAUGAAUUUCUCAAACGGACCUACAAAAGGAUAGCGAAUAUCAUAAAUCACGCUACAAAACCCAAGUCAUAUCUUUAGUAACUGUUUCUUAUGCCUCAAGUAAUCAUCAUAACCAGAACAUAGCACUAUAUCUUGAGAGAUUCAUUCAUUCUAAUUGGCUAGUCAGGACUAAAUUACCACCAUAAGCACACAUAAAUGUACAAACUUAGAAUACAACUUGAAAAAUUUACAACAUUCAUCGACCACGACAGAUCUAUAUCGGCCUCUGAGAGAACGGUGGGCAGUAGGAUUGCCUCAGUUUGCCAUGACUACCAAUCAUUCUAAAACGGCUCCACCUUAAGAUGCAGGGCAUGAGCAAUAUCUACACUUUCAACAGCAUCAACAAGAGCUCAAAUCAAUUUACCAAAAGAUACAGAAGGCAUCCAUUUGAAGAUUAAUAUGAUUAUAGUUUGAAUCUGACCGUGCAACCGGACUAUGAUAAAUAGAAGGGAAGAUAUAUAUGAAACCAACUUAUCUUUAACAAGUCAUCCACUUGUGUGAACCUUUUUUAAUGUGAAAAUGUACUUAUGAAAAGGUACGGAUAAAGGGUCAAACAUAUAUAAGUUAAAUAAAAUUGUUAAAUAAAGAGUCGAAAAUAUGUAUUCAUAGGUCGAACAUCAAUGAAUUUUGCUCCAAAAGAAGUCAAAAGUUAACUUAAACUCUAAAUUUGACUUAUUUCAUCUCUAAUACACUGAAAAAAAUUAGUUAUAUAUAUGAAUAAUUUUUCGUUCUAUCUGGUAAAUUUAGCUAAAAUUGGUUUCACCAUAGCAUGCAAUUUUAUUCCUUUGCUAAUUAUAACACGACAAAGUAACAAAUUUGCAUUGGUAACUGGAAUUUACUGUCAAAAUUCAAACGGUUGUUAAAACAGCAAAGAAAUCCCCGGUACCUGUAACGAUGUCCCUGAAGAACUCAACGGACUCCAUCAACUCCUCGGCUGUCUUACCCUUCCACUUAACGGCGAGCUGAGGCACGGCGUUAUCCUCCAAGUACACUCCGAUUGCCGUGAACUUCACGAAGUUCCCCUGAAUCUCCAGCCCCCUCACCCCUGCGCAUGUUAGGAAGCAAAGUACCGUCAAUCAAAACCAAAAGCAACAAACAAUCAUAAUUACGGAUAUAAGCGCCGGACAUGCAAAGUUUACAAACCUGCGCCGCCGAGGAACAGAGUGUUGGAGGAGCCCGGAGGUUUGACGGACGGUGGAAACGCAGUCGUUUCGACCUGAAGUCCGGCGAGCGACGGUGGUGGAGCUAUUUGACAAUCUUUCUCAUUUCCGGCUUUGGCAUCUUUAGAUUCAUUACACCCGUUCAACAAUUUGGAUAACCUUUCGGCCAAACUUUGCUUUGCUGCAGGGGAAACACCGUGCUUUCCAACGAUCGACUCUAGAACUGCCUCGGAAAGUAGUUUGUUUUCUAUCACCGUGUUUGCAGCUUCAGGUACGGAUGCAUCUCUAGAGAAGCUAAUCUGUGGCGAAAGCAAGGGGGAAAGAUGUCAAAAUCC
rnacentral:lncRNA from 1 species